rnacentral:rRNA from 1 species
GUUGAACGCUGGCGGCGUGCCUAAUACAUGCAAGUCGAGCGAACGGACGAGAAGCUUGCUUCUCUGAUGUUAGCGGCGGACGGGUGAGUAACACGUGGAUAACCUACCUAUAAGACUGGGAUAACUUCGGGAAACCGGAGCUAAUACCGGAUAAUAUUUUGAACCGCAUGGUUCAAAAGUGAAAGACGGUCUUGCUGUCACUUAUAGAUGGAUCCGCGCUGCAUUAGCUAGUUGGUAAGGUAACGGCUUACCAAGGCAACGAUGCAUAGCCGACCUGAGAGGGUGAUCGGCCACACUGGAACUGAGACACGGUCCAGACUCCUACGGGAGGCAGCAGUAGGGAAUCUUCCGCAAUGGGCGAAAGCCUGACGGAGCAACGCCGCGUGAGUGAUGAAGGUCUUCGGAUCGUAAAACUCUGUUAUUAGGGAAGAACAUAUGUGUAAGUAACUGUGCACAUCUUGACGGUACCUAAUCAGAAAGCCACGGCUAACUACGUGCCAGCAGCCGCGGUAAUACGUAGGUGGCAAGCGUUAUCCGGAAUUAUUGGGCGUAAAGCGCGCGUAGGCGGUUUUUUAAGUCUGAUGUGAAAGCCCACGGCUCAACCGUGGAGGGUCAUUGGAAACUGGAAAACUUGAGUGCAGAAGAGGAAAGUGGAAUUCCAUGUGUAGCGGUGAAAUGCGCAGAGAUAUGGAGGAACACCAGUGGCGAAGGCGACUUUCUGGUCUGUAACUGACGCUGAUGUGCGAAAGCGUGGGGAUCAAACAGGAUUAGAUACCCUGGUAGUCCACGCCGUAAACGAUGAGUGCUAAGUGUUAGGGGGUUUCCGCCCCUUAGUGCUGCAGCUAACGCAUUAAGCACUCCGCCUGGGGAGUACGACCGCAAGGUUGAAACUCAAAGGAAUUGACGGGGACCCGCACAAGCGGUGGAGCAUGUGGUUUAAUUCGAAGCAACGCGAAGAACCUUACCAAAUCUUGACAUCCUUUGACAACUCUAGAGAUAGAGCCUUCCCCUUCGGGGGACAAAGUGACAGGUGGUGCAUGGUUGUCGUCAGCUCGUGUCGUGAGAUGUUGGGUUAAGUCCCGCAACGAGCGCAACCCUUAAGCUUAGUUGCCAUCAUUAAGUUGGGCACUCUAAGUUGACUGCCGGUGACAAACCGGAGGAAGGUGGGGAUGACGUCAAAUCAUCAUGCCCCUUAUGAUUUGGGCUACACACGUGCUACAAUGGACAAUACAAAGGGCAGCGAAACCGCGAGGUCAAGCAAAUCCCAUAAAGUUGUUCUCAGUUCGGAUUGUAGUCUGCAACUCGACUACAUGAAGCUGGAAUCGCUAGUAAUCGUAGAUCAGCAUGCUACGGUGAAUACGUUCCCGGGUCU